AUUGGACGCUGGCGGCGUGCUUAACACAUGCAAGUCGAUCGGUAACGCGGGGGCAACCCUGGCGACGAGAGGCGGACGGGUGAGGAACGCUUGGGAAUCUGCCUAUCAGCGGGGGACAACACGGGGAAACUCGUGCUAAUACCGCAUACGCUCUACGGAGGAAAGCCGGGGACCGCAAGGCCUGGCACUGAUAGAUGAGCCCAAGCCGGAUUAGCUAGUUGGCGGGGUAACGGCCCACCAAGGCGACGAUCCGUAGCUUGUCUGAGAGGACGAUCAGCCACACUGGGACUGAGACACGGCCCAGACUCCUACGGGAGGCAGCAGUGGGGAAUAUUGGACAAUGGGGGAAACCCUGAUCCAGCGACGCCGCGUGGGUGAAGAAGGCCUGCGGGUUGUAAAGCCCUUUCGGUAGGGACGAAAGCUCUCGACCUAACACGUCGGGAGGUUGACUUAACCUACAAAAGAAGCACCGGCUAACUCUGCGCCAGCCGCCGCAGUAACAC
rnacentral:rRNA from 1 species